rnacentral:lncRNA from 1 species
AAGAAAAGCGCAGCAAUAAUCUUGUCUUUCCGCACCGUUGAUCCGCUUCGAUAAUCCUGAAAAAUAAAAUAAAAAUAUUAUUUAAAAAAACUAAUUCGAAUAAAUAAAAAUUAAGGAAUAUAAAAUUAAGUCUAGUCCCCAGCAACGGCGCCAAAAACAUGAUAUGAUAAAAAUAUGUAUGUUGAGAUUUCGGCACAUAAAACACAGUGGAAUUUAAAAUUUUUAAAGACAAUUCCGACACCCUAAAACAGGAUCCAUGCUAAAACAUAUUAAUUCAGUGGUUAUGAUUAUAUACCAAUUAUAGAAUAUUUUGAAACGGCUUCGAAUCUUUACGGUAUCCACACGAACGCCCCGUGAAUCGUCACACGAUCUGCAAUAAAAGGAGCCGCAAUACUAGCCACCAAGGAUCAAGAUUUUUGAAACUUUUUCUCUCUGGUCUCUCUCUAAGAGCGGCUAGGGUUUUUAGGUUUAUGAUAACAUCCACAAAAUGACUGAUAUAUUGUAUAUAUAGAAGUCCAAAAGAAUUAAUCAAAACCUAAUUCAAUUAUAAAAUUCGAAUUUAUAUAUAUUAUAUCUUAAUUAAGUCUUAAUUAAUAUACAUAUAUACAAAUUAUCCUAUUAAUUUAAAUUUGAAAUUUAAAUACUAUCAAUUAUAUUGAUAUAUUUAAAUCCUUACAAUUUAAAUUAAUUCCCUUUAAAUUACGUUCUAAGUGUGUGAUCAUAUAGGUUAUUAUUACGUUGGCAAUAAUUUUAAAAUCUUAUUAUAAAAUUAUAAACAGUGAGUGACAUCUAGUAAUACAUCACUGCUACCCAAGUAAUAAUAAGAUCGGUGAUUCGAUGCAACCUUUUCGUGACCAAUGUUUAAAUGUAAUUUAAUCCUUUUUAACAUUGACAUCCUAGUUUAAACUCGAGUAAUGGAAUGUGUCAUAUUCUUCAUAAUUUAAUCUGAGUUUUCUUGAUCAAUUAAUAGACUAUAUGAAACAAAUCACAAUUUGAGUAUGGACAUACAUUUCAUAGUCCUACUCAAUCAAGAGGCCUAUGGAUAUCACCUCUAAUAUAUAGGAUGGUUAAAUUCCAUCUAGAUCAAUCAUAUUCCUCAAACGAUUCAUAAUGUACCCAAUAAUCACCUUUUUUAUUCACCCUAUUAAAUGUGACUUUUGAUGAUAUCAAAGUACAUAAAUUCCAGUGUAGUUAUAUAGUGAUCAUAGAUAUUUCUACUGUUUGUUGUUAAUUUUAAUAUUGAAUUCUAAAUUCCAAUAAAUUUUAUUCAACUAAAAACGAAUCUUUCAGUUGAAACAGUUUCACCUUCUUCUUUUUUGAUCUUUCUUUAAAACACACACAACUUACAAAAUUGAAGAACACAAAUUAGAGCAAAUCAGAGCUACAAGUAUACGAAAAAUCAAAUCAUUAAAUCACAAACAUGUAAUUCUUAAAGAUAAAAAUCGAAAUUCAAUUAAUUUCUACUCAAAUUCAACAAAAUCAAACAAACCUUCAAUAAUCACAGCAUAAAUUUUCACGUCAAAGGCAGAAACAAAUUCGCAAGUGAGAAAAUUAUCUGUGAAAAUCAAAAAUUAAAGGAUUUGCUCAACUCUCAUCUGCAUUUUCUUUCUCUCUCUAAAAAUAGAAAAACAAG